rnacentral:rRNA from 1 species
AACAGGGAUUGCCCCAGUAACGGCGAGUGAAGCGGCAACAGCUCAAAUUUGAAAUCUGGCCCCCAGGGCCCGAGUUGUAAUUUGCAGAGGAUGCUUUUGGCGACGCGCCUUCCGAGUUCCCUGGAACGGGACGCCAUAGAGGGUGAGAGCCCCGUCUGGUUGGACGCCGAGCCUCUGUAAAGCUCCUUCGACGAGUCGAGUAGUUUGGGAAUGCUGCUCUAAAUGGGAGGUAUAUGUCUUCUAAAGCUAAAUACCGGCCAGAGACCGAUAGCGCACAAGUAGAGUGAUCGAAAGAUGAAAAGCACUUUGAAAAGAGGGUUAAAUAGUACGUGAAAUUGUUGAAAGGGAAGCGCUCACGACCAGACUUGAGCCCGGUGAAUCAUCCAGCGUUCUCGCUGGUGCACUUCGCCGGGCCCAGGCCAGCAUCGGUUCGCCGCGGGGGAGAAAGGCGUCGGGAACGUGGCUCCCUCGGGAGUGUUAUAGCCCGUCGCACAAUACCCUGGGGCGGACCGAGGUUCGCGCAUCUGCAAGGAUGCUGGCGUAAUGGUCGUCAGCGACCCGUCUUGAAACACGGACCAAGGAGUCGUCUUCGUAUGCGAGUGUUCGGGUGUAAAACCCCUACGCGUAAUGAAAGUGAACGCAGGUGAGAGCUUCGGCGCAUCAUCGACCGAUCCUGAUGUUCUCGGAUGGAUUUGAGUAAGAGCAUACGGGGCCGGACCCGAAAGAAGGUGAACUAUGCCUGUGUAGGGUGAAGCCAGAGGAAACUCUGGUGGAGGCUCGCAGCGGUUCUGACGUGCAAAUCGAUCGUCAAACAUGGGCAUGGGGGCGAAAGACUAAUC